CGGCAAUGAUUUAACAUUUAUCCGCGCUUCUGAGAUAAAACUAUGAAGUAAAGGAUACAAAAUGGUUGAAUUUCUUAAUAUGAGCCG